rnacentral:rRNA from 1 species
GACGAACGCUGGCGGCGUGCUUAACACAUGCAAGUCGAACGGAAAGGCCCUGCUUUUGUGGGGUGCUCGAGUGGCGAACGGGUGAGUAACACGUGAGUAACCUGCCCUUGACUUUGGGAUAACUUCAGGAAACUGGGGCUAAUACCGGAUAGGAGCUCCUGCUGCAUGGUGGGGGUUGGAAAGUUUCGGCGGUUGGGGAUGGACUCGCGACUUAUCAGCUUGUUGGUGGGGUAGUGGCUUACUAAGGCUUUGACGGGUAGCCGGCCUGAGAGGGUGACCGGCCACAUUGGGACUGAGAUACGGCCCAGACUCCUACGGGAGGCAGCAGUGGGGAAUAUUGCACAAUGGGCGGAAGCCUGAUGCAGCAACGCCGCGUGCGGGAUGACGGCCUUCGGGUUGUAAACCGCUUUCGCCUGUGACGAAGCGUGAGUGACGGUAAUGGGUAAAGAAGCACCGGCUAACUACGUG